rnacentral:rRNA from 1 species
CGGCGGCCGUAACUAUAACGGUCCUAAGGUAGCGAAAUUCCUUGUCGGGUAAGUUCCGACCUGCACGAAUGGCGUAAUGAUGGCCAGGCUGUCUCCACCCGAGACUCAGUGAAAUUGAACUCGCUGUGAAGAUGCAGUGUACCCGCGGCAAGACGGAAAGACCCCGUGAACCUUUACUAUAGCUUGACACUGAACAUUGAGCCUUGAUGUGUAGGAUAGGUGGGAGGCUUUGAAGCGUGGACGCCAGUCUGCGUGGAGCCAACCUUGAAAUACCACCCUUUAAUGUUUGAUGUUCUAACGUUGGCCCCUGACCGGGGUUGCGGACAGUGUCUGGUGGGUAGUUUGACUGGGGCGGUCUCCUCCCAAAGCGUAACGGAGGAGCACGAAGGUUAGCUAAUCCUGGUCGGACAUCAGGAGGUUAGUGCAAUGGCAUAAGCUAGCUUGACUGCGAGCGUGACGGCGCGAGCAGGUGCGAAAGCAGGUCAUAGUGAUCCGGUGGUUCUGAAUGGAAGGGCCAUCGCUCAACGGAUAAAAGGUACUCCGGGGAUAACAGGCUGAUACCGCCCAAGAGUUCAUAUCGACGGCGGUGUUUGGCACCUCGAUGUCGGCUCAUCACAUCCUGGGGCUGAAGUAGGUCCCAAGGGUAUGGCUGUUCGCCAUUUAAAGUGGUACGCGAGCUGGGUUUAGAACGUCGUGAGACAGUUCGGUCCCUAUCUGCCGUGGGCGCUGGAGAAUUGAGGGGGGCUGCUCCUAGUACGAGAGGACCGGAGUGGACGCAUCACUGGUGUUCGGGUUGUCAUGCCAAUGGCACUGCCCGGUAGCUAAAUGCGGAAGAGAUAAGUGCUGAAAGCAUCUAAGCACGAAACUUGCCCCGAGAUGAGUUCUCCCUGAGACUUUAAGUCUCCUGAAGGAACGUUAAAGACGAUGACGUUGAUAGGCCGGGUGUGUAAGCGCAGCGAUGCGUUGAGCUAACCGGUACUAAUGAACCGUGAGGCUUAACCUUACAACGCCGAAG